rnacentral:rRNA from 1 species
AUGGAGGGGAGGAUGCAGGGGAAGGUGCAGCAGCUGUCCGACUCCAACCGUCGGAUCAUGGAGGCCGAUGAGGCGCCGCCGCGGCGCGUGUACCAGGCGUGGAAAGGGAGCAAUAUAUUUUUUCUUGGAGGGAGACUUAUUUUUGGGCCUGAUGUGAGGUCCCUCAUAGCCACAGUAUGUUUAAUUGUCAUCCCAGUGAUCAUCUUUGCUGCCGUUGUUUCUCCGCAGCUUGCCCAUGGGUACCAAAAUCAAAUUGGAGGUUGGGUGGCAUCUGUAUCUAUCAUAUUUACAGCAUAUAUUCUCAUUCUUCUGCUUCUCACGUCUGGACGUGAUCCUGGAAUUGUUCCGCGUAAUUCUCAUCCUCCGGAACCAGAAAACAUUGGUGAAUCCUCCAACUUAUCAGAUUGGCCAGGUGGUCAACAUGGCUCAGCUGGUUUACCACUCACCAAGGAUGUUCUUGUCAAUGGUGUUUUAGUUAAGGUCAAAUAUUGCCAUACAUGUAUGCUUUAUCGUCCACCAAGGUGCUCCCAUUGCUCAAUCUGCAAUAACUGUGUCGAACGUUUUGAUCACCACUGUCCUUGGGUAGGGCAGUGUAUUGGAAAGAGAAACUACCGCUUCUUCCUUAUGUUUGUAUCUUCAGCAACUGUGCUAUGCAUAUACGUGUUCACAUUCUGCUGGGUCAACAUCGGGAAAAUAAUGGACACCCAUGAGUGCACAUUUGGUAGAGCUAUCUUGAAGUCGCCCAUCUCUGCCAUUCUCAUGUUAUACACAUUUGUUGCUGUGUGGUUUGUCGGAGGAUUGACCUCAUUCCACCUCUACUUGAUUUCCACCAAUCAGACUACUUAUGAGAACUUCCGGUACCGCUACGAUAGAAGAAGCAAUCCUUACAACCGUGGGCUGGUCCAAAAUUUCAUCGAGAUCCUAUGCUCAAGGAUUCCCAGCUCCAGAAACAAUUUCAGGGCUAAAGCUAACGAGGAUUCUGCAGCCUUCGCCUCAACGCUUAGCAUGGGGCGGGUCCUAAGCCCGCCGAAGAUGAGCGUGGACCUUGAGAUGGGUACGAAAAGGCAAGCUGUGGGUGCAGAAGACAUGGAGGACUUACACAGCCAGAUUGGCAGUUCUAUGGGGCUUGAGCGAUGCGGCACAGAACCCCCACAUUUUGUCAGCCGAAAGGGUUGCUCUGAAAUUGCAUCUGACAUUGAGACGUUUGCAGAAGAGUUUGGCAUGGACAACAAGUUCACUGAGAGGAAAAAGAUUGAGCGCCAUACAAAUGAUAAUCCUUAA